rnacentral:snRNA from 1 species
GUGCUGGCUUCAGCAGUACAUAUACUAAAAAUUGGAAUGAUACAAAGAUUAGCAUGGCCCCUGUGCAAGGAUGACACACAGAUUUGUGAAGCAUGCCAUAUUUUU